rnacentral:rRNA from 1 species
UUCGUAUAUCCGUUCAACGAUUGCUUUACUAUGCCUGUUUAAAUUUGCAAAUUAAGUUUUAAAAAAAUGAGUAAAUACAUUUUAAAAGUCCGAUUAUUAUUUCGGACUUUAUUAUUUUUACUUAUUAUCCGAUUAUUAUUUUUCCGGGUACUCCAACUUCCCUUAAAUGCAGACACGAAUUAAGCGUAAACGGCAAAAGCUUAAAAGAGUAAAUCGGCCAUCGUAAACCGAAUCGUGAACACCUGGCCAUUUGCAGCUAAAUGAGUAAAUACAAUAUAACCGAUGUGCCAAAAUUGCAAACAGUUUGUGUCCAAUCAGUGCAUGUUGGAAUUUAAUGUGGAUCGAGUCUGUUUUUUAUAUGACAAAAAGUACCUGGGGAUUUACUACUAAUUGAAAAAAUUUUUGAAUUUUAUUUAUGAUGGGUUGGUGUAGCUUUUAUUGAGAUCUCAAAAUCCGAAAUCAACGGAAUAUUUUAACCUACUUAGGGGUAUAAAAAAUUUUUCUCAGGCCUCCAGAAAGCUCACAAAAAUUUUUACAAAAAACACUUGGUCCCAUCUUGGGGAUGAAUUGAGGAGUCAUCAGUUAUAUGUGCGAAUAAAAAAUUCACUCAAAUUACCCCACAGAUUUCCACAGGAAUUCCUAUUAACCCAUGAAACCAGCUGAAUUUCGCAUUGAUUAAAUUACAUUUUUUUCGACCCUGGAACCCUUGAAAAAAAUAGUUUAGAUUAAGCUGAACACUUUCAAGCCAGUCUAGUUCUACCUGCAACAUGUUCUACCUGCAACAUGUAAAUCUAGUUCUACCUGCAACAUGUAAUGUAUAUUGUACAUUCUAUCUUGCAACACUUCUUCCACCCUAUUAUUAUAAGGCCGAGUUAUGGCCCUAAUUGAGCCAUAACUCGGCCAAGAAUGUCUUCAUUAAUCAAGAACGAAAGUCAGAGGUUCGAAGGCGAUCAGAUACCGCCCUAGUUCUGACCGUAAACGAUGCCAACUAGCGAUCCGCCGAUGGAAAUUAUAUUGCCUUGGUGGGGAGCUUCCCGGAAACGAAAGUCUUCCGGUUCCGGGGGAAGUAUGGUUGCAAAGCUGAAACUUAAAGGAAUUGACGGAAGGGCACCACCAGGAGUGGAGCCUGCGGCUUAAUUUGACUCAACACGGGGAAACUCACCCGGCCCGGACACUGUGAGGAUUGACAGAUUGAUAGCUUUUUCAUGAUUCAGUGGAUGGUGGUGCAUGGCCGUUCUUAGUUCGUGGAGUGAUUUGUCUGGUUUAUUCCGAUAACGAGCGAGACUCUAACCUACUAAAUAGCUGGUACAUAAUUUAAGUGUAUACAGCUUCUUAGAGGGAUUUGCGGUGUUCAGCCGAAAGAAAUUGAGCAAUAACAGGUCUGUGAUGCCCUUAGAUGUCCGGGGCUGCACGCGCGCUACACUGGCAAAAUCAACGUGCUUGUCCUACCCCGAAAGGGGCGGGUAAACCAUUGAAAAUUUGCCGUGAUUGGGAUCGGAAAUUGCAAUUAUUUUCCGUGAACGAGGAAUUCCAAGUAAGUGCGAGUCAUCAGCUCGCGUUGAUUACGUCCCUGCCCUUUGUACACACCGCCCGUCGCUGCCCGGGACUGAGCCAUUUCGAGAAAUUUGGGGACCGUUGAUUUAAUUUUCUAAAUUACUUUGAUGGAAACCAAUUUAAUCGCAGUGGCUUGAACCGGGCAAAAGUCGUAACAAGGUAGCUGUAGGUGAACCUGCUGCUG